UUGACGGGGCCGCACAAGCAGCGGAGCGUGUGGUUAAUUCGAUGCAACACGAAGAACCUUACCAGGUCUUGACAUCCCCUGACAACCCGAGAGAUCGGGCGCUCCCCUUCGGGGGACAGGGUGACAGGUGGUGCAUGGUUGUCGUCAGCUCGUGUCGUGAGAUGUUGGGUUAAGUCCCGCAACGAGCGCAACCCUCGACCUUAGUUGCCAGCAUUCAGUUGGGCACUCUAAGGUGACUGCCGGCUAAAAGUCGGAGGAAGGUGGGGAUGACGUCAAAUCAUCAUGCCCCUUAUGACCUGGGCUACACACGUGCUACAAUGGGCGGUACAAAGGGUCGCGAACCCGCGAGGGGGAGCCAAUCCCAAAAAGCCGCUCUCAGUUCGGAUUGCAGGCUGCAACUCGCCUGCAUGAAGCCGGAAUCGCUAGUAAUCGCGGAUCAGCAUGCCGCGGUGAAUACGUUCCCGGGCCUU
rnacentral:rRNA from 1 species